rnacentral:rRNA from 1 species
AUUGAACGCUGGCGGCAUGCUUUACACAUGCAAGUCGAACGGUAACAGGCCGCAAGGUGCUGACGAGUGGCGAACGGGUGAGUAAUGCAUCGGAACGUGCCCAGUCGUGGGGGAUAACGCAGCGAAAGCUGUGCUAAUACCGCAUACGAUCUAUGGAUGAAAGCGGGGGACCGUAAGGCCUCGCGCGAUUGGAGCGGCCGAUGUCAGAUUAGGUAGUUGGUGGGGUAAAGGCCUACCAAGCCGACGAUCUGUAGCUGGUCUGAGAGGACGACCAGCCACACUGGGACUGAGACACGGCCCAGACUCCUACGGGAGGCAGCAGUGGGGAACUUUGGACAAUGGGCGCAAGCCUGAUCCAGCAAUGCCGCGUGCAGGAAGAAGGCCUUCAGGUUGUAAACUGCUUUUGUACGGAACGAAACGGUCUGGGUUAAUACCCUGGGCUAAUGACGGUACCGUAAGAAUAAGCACCGGCUAACUACGUGCCAGCCGCCGCCGUAAAAC